rnacentral:rRNA from 1 species
GGGCCCAGGCUUAACUUUGCAAGUCGAACGGUAACAGGAGAAGCUUGCUUCUCGCUGACGAGCGGCGGACGGGUGAGUAAUACUUAGGAAUCUACCUAGUAGUGGGGGAUAGCUCGGGGAAACUCGAAUUAAUACCGCAUACGACCUACGGGAGAAAGGGGGCAACUUGUUGCUCUCGCUAUUAGAUGAGCCUAAGUCGGAUUAGCUAGAUGGU